GGGACUUAACUCUAUGAUUCAGGCAAGGAUG
rnacentral:piRNA from 1 species